AAAGUGCGACAAGUGUCACGACUUGCAGAUUCCCGGGAGCUGACAACUCUCUGAAUGCAAAUUGCGGUCCGGCAUUUUCCCAGGCCGGCCAUGUGCUGCAGAGUGUUGUUGCCUUGUGCAAUUCAUCUUUCGGCUUUGUCCCGAAAGGAUUCGGUGUUGAGCAGCAGUAUUGCUGUUCAGCUCUGAGAUCUGCGCAAGCUCGCCCGUCGAGCCUGCCUUGCCUUUUCGGUGCGGCAGGAAUCAACACGGGAUGCUGUUUGCGUCACUCCAACACUCUCUUCUUGCUGACCUCUGCAGCAUAAGAAAACCCGCUGAACUUAA
rnacentral:misc_RNA from 1 species